AUGAACGCUGGCGGCGUGCCUAAUACAUGCAAGUCGAGCGAACAGACGAGGAGCUUGCUCCUCUGACGUUAGCGGCGGACGGGUGAGUAACACGUGGAUAACCUACCUAUAAGACUGGGAUAACUUCGGGAAACCGGAGCUAAUACCGGAUAAUAUAUUGAACCGCAUGGUUCAAUAGUGAAAGACGGUUUUGCUGUCACUUAUAGAUGGAUCCGCGCCGCAUUAGCUAGUUGGUAAGGUAACGGCUUACCAAGGCAACGAUGCGUAGCCGACCUGAGAGGGUGAUCGGCCACACUGGAACUGAGACAAGGUCCAGACUCCUACGGGAGGCAGCAGUAGGGAAUCUUCCGCAAUGGGCGAAAGCCUGACGGAGCAACGCCGCGUGAGUGAUGAAGGUCUUCGGAUCGUAAAACUCUGUUAUUAGGGAAGAACAAAUGUGUAAGUAACUAUGCAAGUCUUGACGGUACCUAAUCAGAAAGCCACGGCUAACUACGUG
rnacentral:rRNA from 1 species